GUCUCCGUGGCGCAAUUGGUUAGCGCGUCUGACUGUUAAUCAGGAGGUUGGCAGUUCAAGCCUGCCCGGGGACG
rnacentral:tRNA from 1 species